rnacentral:tRNA from 1 species
AAAAAGGCCGGAAUAGCUCAGUCGAGUCGGCGGAGCACGUGAUAAUGUUU